rnacentral:rRNA from 1 species
CGCACGGGUGAGUAACGCGUAUGCAACUUACCUAUCAGAGGGGGAGUAACCCGGCGAAAGUCGGACUAAUACCGCAUGAAGCAGGGGCCCCGCAUGGGGAUAUUUGCUAAAGAUUCAUCGCUGAUGGAUAGGCAUGCGUUCCAUUAGGCAGUUGGCGGGGUAACGGCCCACCAAACCGACGAUGGAUAGGGGUUCUGAGAGGAAGGUCCCCCACAUUGGUACUGAGACACGGACCAAACUCCUACGGGAGGCAGCAUG